rnacentral:rRNA from 1 species
CACCGCGGUUAUACGAUGGGGCUCAAGUUGACAGACAUGCGGCGUAAAGAGUGGUUAAGGAAAUUUUUAAACUAAAGCCGAACGCCUACAGAACUGUUAUACGUUUAUGAAGGUAUGAAGCACAACCACGAAAGUGGCUUUACUCCCCCUGACCCCACGAAAGCUGUGAAA